AUUCUCCUGACACACACAGGUCAGUCACCUGCUCCUUCAGAGGCUCACUGCUCAGGUGCUUCCCAUUCACAGAGUACAGAUGCAGUGACCACUGUACACACAAGAGGGCACAAGUGCUGUACAAGAAACUGAAGAAGAUGAAGGCCAACAAGACAGCUUUCUGUCAAACACAUAGGAAAGAAACAAAAUAAGUAGAGCUGAGGGAUAUUGGGACACAGCCUGUAUUGAAUUACUCAGCUUUCCCUAAAUGCCUUGGAUUCAGGACGGCCACGGGUUUGGAGAGAUCUCGGAACACGCGUGGGUCAGAGAGGUCCAGCUCCUCGGAGGUGUAAUCUGCCAGGAUCCAGGGAAACUGCAGGGGUGACGAAAAACAAACAGAUUUAAACACUGGAAAGAGCAAAAUCACACAAUUGGUGUGCUAAUAAAGAGCAGCUUUUACCACAGGAUACUGAGCCAGGUUGUUGUAGGUUCUCCCUGCGAUGGUGUUCAGCUGCAUCAGACGGUUGUGAACACUGACCUGUGUGAGUCCAGAGGCCUUGAGCAGCUCCUGGGGUGAGCGAGUGCCGUGGAGAGGGAGAGAGCAAAGCAGCAGCAUCCGACUAUACACUUUAUUCCGCACCUGUCCAUCAAACACAGAGGGAAAUAGAUGUGGUGAGUGGUGAUGUCCAACCGGCCAGGGUACACAUCCACCACAGUGACCAGCUCACAGUCCUCUGACAUCACCAACUUCUCCUUCUGAUUCGCGUCCUCGUCAUCCACUCUGAGGAGUGAAAGAGAGAAAGAGUGUAUAAGAAAAAGGAAGAUGGGAGUAGGUCCCAUCACAGGGAGCAGCAGUUCAUUGGCAGUGCCCAAUUUGGUGAGGGCGGAGAACACCUGUCCUCUCUCCAUCCAGGCGGUAUCGUCUGAACCCCCGACGCCACGCCACAUCACACACAGCACAAUCUCCAACAGUAUCCGCCACAACUCCUCCUCAGCACACCGAAAAAAGAUAAGACGCACUCAAGCAACAGUUACCACAUGGACACACUAGGUGGCACUGUGUGACCUUCACUACUAUACUGGGGAAAAGUAUAAAUUGAUUCCCUAUGAGGUUAAAACAUACUUAAACAAACUUAAAGCCUUACCUCAGCAUUGUUAAAAGACUCUCCCAGAGAGACGUUAUCACUGAAAAGGAAGCUGUCAUCAGACAGGGAGGAGGCUGUCUCUCGCUCCACUGGGGCUCCAGGGAAAGGCUUGGCGUUCUCGAGAGGUGAGGGCGUACUGGGCAUGCUGCCGGGGGUCUGACUUCCGCUGUCCCCCUGAUCAAAUAGGUGCAUCUGGGAAAGAUCCAAACUCAGGCCCCCAGCUUUCCCGGCCUUUGGUGAUUUAUUUACGUAGUAGUUAAACGGAGCGUCCCCUGGCGUCUCAGUGAGGGACAGCAUGUCUCCGUUGUCCAGGCUGUCUAUAGACCUGCUGUCUGAAACGCUGUCUCUCUCAUCAUUCAGCUUCCCCAUGCUGUUCGAUGGCACUUUGCGGUCUAUUGGAGGUUCUAGCCUGUUUCCUGCGCUGCUACGGCCGAGCUCCAGGCUGCCCAGGCUGGCCGAAUCACCCCGGCCAGAGCCUGUGCUCCCAUCUGUCCCGGGGGUCCGGACCAACACUCUCAUUAGCGUGUCCUGCCAGCACAGCUGCCGGGAAAUUUGCAGCGCCGCAUCUGGCUGUGACUGGAGCAACGAGCAGGCGGAUGCUGGGUCCGGCCCGAUGGGUCAGCUGCACAAGAGCCAUCAGAUCCUUAUAGUUCACCACAGUGUCUGCGGAUUACAGGACCAUGGUCAUAAGGCCAGAUUCAAUCAAUCUUAAAGGUUUAAUAUGUUCUUCAUGCUCUCAAUAUUCUUGUGACUAGACUCUGCAUCUCUUCUAACUACAAACAAUUCAGCAUUACUACACAGUCAAAGCAACUCAGAGGAAAAUAACAGAACCCCAGCUCUGAUACAUCAGCCAUCAUAUGACUGUGAGGGCCAGCAUCACUAUAGGAGCGAUGUGGAGAAAGAACGCCAUCUGCUCACCCUGAGAGAGCAUGGCCAAUUGUGCUUUUUGGGGCUCCAGUUGCCAAUGAUGAAGCAGCAUGGUCCAAAAUUAAAACUUCCAAAACUCGGACCAUAGUGUCAGCUGCCUCACUCGAAUGCCAAUUGCUGACAUUUAUUUGACUGGUACUGUAUGUAUGAUAACAUAUAAAUGGGUAAAUUGAAGAACAGCCAAUCCCUGCUGUAGAAGUUGCAGCGUGGGACUGACCUGUGUGCAGCACUUGGUUGAUGAGGCACUUCACGAGGCUGGGGGUGAUCUGACUGUCUGAGAAGAGGAGUGUAAGGCCUGAGUAUCCCAUCUCCCUCAGCCUCAACCGCUGCUUACUCUUCUCAUACACACGGUCACACUUCAGCAUCCGCUCAAACACCUGCAAACACACAGAAUAUUCAAUUUGCUUUGUAUAAAUAUGUAAUGCAUAGAUGUAUUUGGUUAUUUCUUCAGAAACCAAGUGUACUAAAAUUGUGGGAGGUUAUCAUCCAACAGCCCAGCCUGAAUAAUGCUCUAAUAAAUGCAAUAAAAUUUCCACA